GAGGUAGAACUGCCGAACCACUUUCCAGUCAGUUGCUCUCAGAGCAAAAUUGGGAGACAAACAUGACACAUUGGCUUCAAUUUGUUUUUGUUUCAGCAGUUUUGGGAGGUAAUUUUAUUCCUUCUUUGAACAAAGAUGACUAGUAUAAUCCAGGGCUUAAUAUGUAGCAGAUCCUUUAAAUAUGGCUUUCCUCCUUUUCUAGGUGUCCAAUCAGCAGUCCAGCUGGUAGAGUCUGGAGGGGAUGUCAAAAGACCUGGAGAGUCCCUCCGCCUCUCUUGUCGAGCUUCUGGCUUCGACUUCAGCAGCUAUCCCAUGGCCUGGGUGCGACAGGCUCCUGGAAAGGGACUAGAAUGGGUUUCAUGGAUAAGCAGUGGGGGAGGCUCACAAUAUUAUGCAGACUCAGUGAAAGGGCGCUUCACCAUCUCCAGAGACAACCCUUCAAACAUGCUGUAUCUACAAAUGAACAGCUUGAAAUCAGAGGACACUGCUGUUUAUUACUGUGCAAGAAGCACAGUGAAAGGAAGUGAAUCUGAUGCCAGACAAAAACCUUCCUUCGCCAGCUGUCUGGACUAGUUAAGCUGCAACCACAAAAAACCAAAUGAAAAAUCUGAAGAAAGAAGAUAAACUGAAGAUAAAUUGUCUUGAUUUUGUUGACACAAAUGAGGCACCAUGCCUAUUGUUCAAAAUGGAAUGUUCAGAAAAAGCCUAGCCUGCAUUCAGACACCACUUUAUUCUAUUUCCCCAGCAAUUCAUUUCCUAACUUAGAUCCACUUCUUAUGUGAUCUUUUAUGCAGUGCAAAAUUCAAUUCUGGUAAUCUAGCAGAAUCUUGUUGAUGUUCAGUACUCGUUCCUAUAUUUAUUGUUUCCAUGAUAUGUGUGUUUGCAUGAUUGCAGCUCCUUUAGCUCAGAAUAUUGUGGCAGAUUUCAGGUAUAAUUUCCCCAUUGUUUUAAUGGCUUACAUGAUGUGAUGAAAUUUGAGGAAGAAUUUUCAAAUACCAUGUUAGCCUGUUUUGGUGGGGAUAGAGAUGGACUGUUUAAAUCCACUUUACCACACAGUUUCCCUGGCUCCAACUUUGCAAUCCCACCUUUCUGCUCUGUGUGUAUAGUCAUACCUCAUGUUAGGUUUGCUUCAUGAUACGUUUUUUUCAGGUUGCGUCCUGCAGCGACCCGGAAGUACUGGAAAGGGUUACUUCUGGGUUUCGCUGCUCGCACAUGCGCAGACAAGCAAAAUGAUGUCAAGCACAUGCGCAGAAUUGGUGAAUCGCGGCUCACGCGUGCGUAGAUGUGCCACUGCAGGUUGCGUUCAUUUAAGGUUGCAUUCAUUUAACCUGCACUGUCAGUGGGGAUUCUGUCAAGAAUAAGUACUGGGACUGAGUCCGACAGGCUCCUGGAAAAGGACUGGAAUGGAUGGGCCAGAUAGAUUGGGAUAGCAAAUGGAGAUUAUUCCACAGCCCAUCUCUCCAAGGCCGAAUCACCCUGAGUGCCAAUUCCUCCAGAAAUACAUAUGACCUGGAGCUGAGAUCUGUGACAGGUGCAGACACGGCUAUAUAUUACUGCGCGUCUGAAGCACGGUUAGAGAAACCAAAGGCUAGAGGCAUCUCUUACUGGGUGAAAUGUAGGAGCAUCUCCUAAAAUUAUUUCCAUUUCUCACAUGGGGGCACCAGUGAUUUAAAGACUAAGAAGUCAUCGACCACAACUGAAAUAAAGUCUAAAAUGAAGCCUAGUGUGAUGUUUUGUGGUUACAGCUGUGAGGCUAUUGUUUCCUCAGCUGCCUCAACUGCAUAAGAGUUUGAUUCCCCGAGAGACAUUCUCACAACUUUCUAUUUAGAACUAAAAAAAAUUGCCAUUACCACCCCAACCAUCAUUUCCCAAUGUAUACACUAGGCAGAAUUUCUAUUUUAUUACAUACUUUCCAGCUCUGUAGCUCAUACUCCAAGUAUGAGUAGAAAGCAGAAAGGGGGUUACAAAUCUCUGUAAACAUUGUACUGUAAUAUAUGUCUUGUUGGCCUUAGAUGUCCAUGGCAAUGUCCAGCUUAUGGAAUCUGGACCAGAGACUGUGAAUCCUGGAGUGACUCUGAGACUAAUCUGCACUAUCACUUGAGAUUUUGUCAGUAAUGUUGACUGGGAAUGGAUCCGACAGGCUCCUAGAAAAGGACAGAAAUGGAUAAGCCUGAUAUACAUCGGAGUGGCAACUCAUGGCAUGUUCAAGUAGAAGGGGAUGGGGAUUGGGGAUGCAUCAAGCCACCAUCAGCUGGGCAUACAGCCCUGGCAGCCAGUGAAGAUACAUGCCCACUGUGACUGCUGCUGCUUUCCUGCUGACUGAGAAAAGCAGCUCUGCCUCAGUGCCAGGAGAAAGUAGUGCCACAGUGCCUUGAAGUGAGAGCGAUCAGCUGCCCAGUUCUCUAUCAGCGUGAGGGGAAAGCAACACCUAGAAUCAUAGAAUCAUAGAGUUGGAAGAGACCACAAGGGCCAUCGAGUCCAACCCCCUGCCAAGCAGGAAACACCAUCAGAGCAUUCCUGACAUAUGGUUGUCAAGCCUCUGCUUAAAGACCUCCAAAGAAGGAGACUCCACCACACUCCUUGGCAGCAAAUUCCACUGUCGAACAGCUCUUACUGUCAGGAAGUUCUUCCUAAUGUUUAGGUGGAAUCUUCUUUCUUGUAGUUUGGAUCCAUUGCUCCGUGUCCGCUUCUCUGGAGCAGCAGAAAACAACCUUCUUCUGCUUCUGCUUCUUGCUUCCUGUAUAGGUAUGUGAAAAUAAUAGGACAAAAUGGGCGUGGGGAGGAGAAAGGCCAUGCAUCUAUCUCCACCUCAGAUCAAAGAAAAAGAAGCCUUGACAGCACUCAGUUCCACAUGCUGUGGUACAGGUUUAUUGAAAGCCCGGUUCCCAAGCAGAGCAAGUGAUUAAGGCAGGAGGGUCCUGUCCAGGAAACAAGGCCACACAAGAACAAGGAAGUUCUGCCCUUAGCAACUCAAGUCCUAGAGGGUAUGUGCAAAAUGCUUUGAGGGUUCAGUUAUGGAGAGAAAUUAAAAAAUGACACUUUGGUUUUUCUAGGGUUAGGAAAAGCAUGCCCAUUAGUAACAUUUUAUAUUGCAUAAGUAUAUAAUAGUUUUUUGCUAAUCAAGUAAAUAAAAUACAAAGGUAUCUAUACUAAGAAGGGGCGCACCCCUGGUCUUUUCUUUCUGGCAGCAUAUCAGCACUGAAAGCUUUUGGAAAAGUUUGGAGAGUGGGGCACUGAACUAUCCUUCUUUAAACUAUUCUUGAUGCUUGCCCAUCUGAAAGAGGGUCAACAAACAGGAUCUGCGACUUCUGAUCUAUAUUUUAUUGAACAUUUAAGAUACAUCUGCCUUCCUCCCUCCUGCUUUAAACUCAUACUUACAGGCCCAUUCCAGCCUAUAAAUCUGGGUAACAAUCUCCCAAGUUUUAUCUAUUCUCUAUGUACAAGAAACAAUUGCCAAAAGGCACAGUGAGAGGAUGUGAAUCUGAAAUCCGGGAAAAAACCUGUUUGCCUUCUCACCAGAAAUAAGUCUUGAGUCAAACUAUUAUAAGAGCAAACAGGGGAGAUUCACUAAAAUAUAUAAAAUAAUUGGAUCUGCAAUUCAAACAACCUGAACCAAUUAACCAAGUCACAAUGCACAUGCAGGUGAGUUUUAAUCAAUGGGGUUAUAUAAGCCCCCCCCCCUUUUCUGACCAAUUUUACAGCCACAUACUGUGAUCAUAUAGCAAGGCUAGCACACUGCGAGAGGUGGAGCCAACUUGUCUCUGCCUAAGCCUGUUCCCACACACCUAGUAAAGUUCACACUGCUAAUUUCGGGGGGAUUAAGUUGUGACCCUUCCUUCCUUCAUCAUUUGUGUUGUAUUGAGAGUAUUAUUAUUAUUGGGCACAUGGAAUCCUUAGGAUGAAUGAAAGCUCACUCUUGUUUUCAAAUAACAAUCACCCAAAACAAAAAUGUGGUUCAAAAGCUUUACUUUAGCACUUAACUUUAAAACAAAUUUAAAAAUAAACACGUGUUAAAUAAAUAAAUAAAGUUGAUCUGAUGGGGGACGUAUCAGGAUUCCCUUGAAGACAGCAGGUGUGGCCGGUGCCAGGGACCAACUCCUUUUUGAGUCCUAAGGAAAAGUGCGACAUUCUGGGAUCAAAUCAGGAACCAGGAGGGCUUUUGUGAAUUCUUGACUGUAAAACAGAACACUUGAAGGGUCAGCAAGUCAUGUGUUUUGUAUAAGGCUAAACAGAUCUGCUCCAUCAAAGACCAGUGUUGCUCUUUUAUCCUGAGCUGCAUGUAAAUGCAGAGGCAGCUUCCUCUUUAAAGCAGUAGCACACUCUCUGCCCAGCCUACAGCCAGAGGUAGAACUGCCGAACCACUUUCCAGUCAGUUCCUCUCAGAGCAAAAUUGGGAGACAAAAAUGACACAUUGGCUUCAAUUUGUUUUUGUUUCAGCAGUUUUGGGAGGUAAUUUUAUUCCUUCUUUGAACAAAGAUGACUAGUAUAAUCCAGGGCUUCAUAUGUAGCAGAUCCUUUAAAUAUGGCUUUCCCCCCUUUCUAGGUGUCCAAUCAGCAGUCCAGCUGGUAGAAUCUGGAGGGGAUGUCAAAAGGCCUGGAGAGUCCCUCCGCCUCUCCUGUCAAGCUUCUGGAUUCACCUUCAGCAGCUAUGGCAUGAACUGGGUGCGACAGGCUCCUGGAAAGGGACUGGAAUGGGUUGCAAGAAUCUGGUCUGAUGGUAGCCAACAAUAUUAUGCAGACUCAGUGAAAGGGCGCUUCACCAUCUCCAGAGACAACCCUUCAAACAUGCUGUAUCUACAAAUGAACAGCUUGAAAUCAGAGGACACUGCUGUUUAUUACUGUGCAAGAAGCACAGUGAAAGGAAGUGAAUCUGAAGCUAGACAAAAACCUUCCUUCGCCAGCUGUCUGGACUGGUUAAGCUGCAACCACAGAAAACUAAAUGAAAAAUCUGACACAAAUGAAACUAAAUGAAAAAUUUGACACAAAUGAGGCACCAUGCCUAUUGUUCAAAAUGGAAUGUUCAGAGAAAGCCUAGGCUGCAUUCAGACACCACUUUAUUCUAUUUCCCCAGCAAUUCAUUUCCUAAUAAGAUCUACUUCUUAUGUGAUCUUUUAUGCAGUGCAAAAUUCAAUUCUGGUAAUCUAGCAGAAUCUUGUUGAUGUUCAGUACUCAUUGCUAUAUUUCUUGUUUCCAUGAUAUGUGUGUUUGCAUGAUUGCAGCUCCUUUAGCUCAGAAUAUUGUGGCAGAUUUAAGGUAUAAUUUCCCCAUUGUUUUAAUGGCUUACAUGAUGUGAUGAAAUUUGGGGAUGAAUUUUCAAAUACCAUGUUAGCCUGUUUUGGUGGGGAUAGAUAUGGACUGUUUAAGUCCACUUGGCCCCACAGUUUCCCUGUCUCCAACUUUGCAAUCCCACCUUUCUGCUCUGUGUGUAUAUGAAGCAGUGUAGGACUUAAUGUUCCUGGCAGACAAUCAGUGCAAUUGACACAGUGGGAGAGUUGAGUUAUAUUGGUUGGAAAUAAAAGCAAGCGGUUUUAUGACCUGAUGACUGAGCACACAGACUUGAGCAUAGCUGGAAUAUAGCAGGGUCACUUUCAUUAUUCCUUUUAUACUAAUAUCAAAUUUCUAUACCACCCCUCAUCUGAAAAUCACAGUAUGGCUCACAUUGGCAGUGUGUGGCCCCAGCCAACAUGAAGGCUUGUAAAAAUUCCUCUUCCUGCUGCUUUCUGGUUGUGGGAAAGCAAGGGACCCAUAAAAGGGUGUGUGUGACCAAGAGGACUUCUUUAAAUGAUGGACCCACUUCCCACUGGUGGACGCAGAGCUUUGAGCAUAUCCUCAGUUUGGAUCACCUCUCUUUAUCUGAUUCCCACCACUAGAUGCAAAGUUUAUGCAAAUUCCUGUCCAAAAAGCUUUCUAUUUAAAUAGCUCCACCCACACCAAGUCUUCAGAUGCUCAGCUGGACCAAAUUCAGCUGUCAAUCCAGAGGGAGGAGUUUCUCUCUGCAAACAAUGAAGGCCCCCUUUCUUUUCCUUUCUUUGUUAGCUGUGCCGCUCUGUGAGUAUCUUCCAGAGAAACAUUUAAAAAAUCAAAUGUUACAGAUGGACAAAUUACAUGGUAACCAAAGUCUUGUUGUUUUCUUUAGAUGUCCACUGCAGUGUCCAGCUUGUGGAAUCUGGACCAAGGGUUGUGAAUCCAGGAGGGUCCCUGAGACUAACCUGCACUGUCACUGGGGAUUCUGUCAAGAAUAAUUACUGGGAAUGGGCCCGACAGGCUCCCGGAAAAGGACUGGAAUGGAUGGGCCAGAUAUACUGGGUUAUCCUCAAAUGGAGCUUAUACUACCACCCAUCACUCCAAGACCAAAUCACUGUGACUGCCGAUUCCUCCAGAAAUACAUAUGACCUGGAACUGAUAUCUGUGACAGAUGCAGACACGGCUAUAUAUUAUUGUGCCCGCAAGACACACAGUGACAUAAACCAAAGGAGAAACUGUAUAAAAGGGCAGAAGCAUCUGUUACUGGGGUGAAGUGUAGGAGCAUCUCCUAAGAUUCUUUCUGUUUCUCACAAGGGGGCAGCAGUGAUUUAAGGACUAAGAAGCUAUUGAACACAACUGAAAUAAAGCCUUGUGAGAUGUUUUGUGGUUACAGCUGCAUGACUGACUACUGUUUUCUCAGCUGCCUCAACUUCACUGGCUGCAUGAGAGUUUGAUUCCAAAACCGAAUCGCACAGUACUAAAACAGACUAUUAAACUUGUGAUAUUACCAUACAAAAAUCCCCCCCCCCCAAAAAAAAGUUGAGGGGUAGGCAAGGGAUGGGCCUGCGGACCUUCUAGGUAUAUUCUGAGGACCCACAGGUGUCCGCAGAACUCUAAUUGUGAACCACCGCAUCAAGCAAUAGAGAGUUCAUAUGACAGAAAUCGGUCCAAGCACAUAUACACAAACAUUUUUUUAUUAGUCAUCUGCAUAGAAUUUAUGCAUAAAGAGUCACACCACAGCUUUUCUUACUUUAUAGCAGACUGACCCAAGUACACUGAAACCUAUUUCAGAAUAUGGAUAAAGAAUGCAUGUACAAUUUAUGAAAUUGCCAUACCCAGAUGAUAAAAUAAGUGCAAAAAUCAGAGGCAGACUGUGUUCUUUCAAAUUUCAGUGGUGCCCUGGGUAAGUCCAAAAUUUGGUGGCCUCAACCUCUCACCUUCCCUUCUGCUCAAUUCACUAUAGAUAGAUAGAGGAUAGAUAGAUAGACAGAUAAAGUAUAUUUGCAUUAGCCAACAGCCAUAGCAACAUAAAACAAGCAAUAUAUACAAUUAAAAAAGACAACAAUGGGUAAAAAGUACAAUCAAAUGACCAAGAUUAUUGUUCAGAUAAAAGCUAAAGGGACCCCUGACCAUUAGGUCCAGUCGUGACCGACUCUGGGGUUUCAGCGCUCAUCUCCCUUUAUUGGCUGAGGGAGCCAGUGUUUGUCCGCAGACAGCUUCCGGAUCAUCAUAAUAAUAAUAAUAAAUUUUAUUUAUAUCCCGCCCUCCCCAGCCGAAGCCGGGCUCAGGGCGGCUAACAACAAUAAAACAGUACAAAAGUACAGCACAAACAACACUCUAAAAUCAUUCAUUAUAAAAUUAAUUAAUUCAAGCCACUGGCAACCAUUGGGCCAGAGCUCCCCGAAGAUUGCCGAGGGAGGGAGUCAGGCUGUGCCCUGGCCAAAGGCCUGGUGGAACAGCUCUGUCUUGCAGGCCCUGUGGAAAGAUGUCAAGUCCCGCAGGGCCCUGGUCUCUUGUGACAGAGUGUUCCACCAGAUCGGAGCCACGGCCGAAAAGCCCUGGCUCUAGUUGAGGCCAGCCUAACUUCUCUGUGGCCUGGGACCUUCAAGAUGUUUUUAUUUGAAGACCGUAAGUUUCUCUGUGGGGCAUACCAGGAGAGGAGGUCCCGUAGGUACGAGGGUCCUAGGCCGUGUAGGGCUUUAAAGGUUAAAACCAGCACCUUUAACCUGAUCCUGUACUCCACCGGGAGCCAGUGCAGCUGGUAUAGCACCGGGUGAAUGUGAUCUCGCAGCGAAGACCCCGUAAGGAGUCUUGCUGCAGCAUUCUGCACCCGCUGGAGUUUCUGGGCCAGUCUCAAGGGCAGCCCCACGUAGAGCGAGUUACAAUAAUCCAGUCUGGAGGUGAUCGUCGUGUGGAUCACAGCUGCAAUCUGCGCCUCCAUGGAAAGUGAGGUGUCGAAGAUUACACCCAAACACUUAACGGACGGUGCUGGCACUAAUUGCACCCCCACAAGAGAUGGGAGUUGCCCCCCCAAUCCCAUAUCAUGUGGCCAGCAUAACUAAGCCGCUUCUGGCGAACCAGAGCAGCGCACGGAAAUGCCGUUUACCUUCCCGCUGGAGCGGUCCCUAUUUAUCUACUUGCACUUUGAUGUGCUUUCGAACUGCUAGGUUGGCAGGAGCUGGGACCGAGCAACAGGAGCUCACCGCAUCGUGGGGAUUCGAACCACCAACCUUCUGAUCGGCAAAUCCUAGGCUCUGUGGUUUAACCUACAGCGCCACCCGUGUCCCUAUCGUUCAGAUAGUUGCCCUUAAUAUCAUUGCACCCUUGAUAAACCUAGCAACCUUUGCUGUUGUCUGAUCAUUUUGAUCUGAUAAAAGAAGGAACAAUGUGGCUGCAGAUGGGCGGCCUGGGAUGGUAAGUAAGAGUAGGGUGAUGAUCUCAUUCCCCAGAUCUUUAUAAAGGGGACAGGACAGGAGAACAUGAGCCACUGUUUCCAGAUUGCCAUCUCCACAGGGGCAGAGUCGUUUCUCAGGUGGAAUCUUUUGGUAUCUGCCCUCAAGUACGGCAGAGGGCAUCACAUCCUAUCUGGCCAGUGUGAAGGCACGUCUGUAUUUUGGGAUGGUUAAUUUAUACAAAUAUGGUUCCAUGGAAUCAAACUGAGAAGGGGGGAAACAAGGCAUACCAAGGACAGAGUUUCUUUAUAAUUGCCAGAUUGUUCUGUUGCUCUAAGUCCUUCAGACGCUGUCCAAUUAGCCAUUUUGCUUUAAUAAAGCCCAUCGUGAGAAGCUGAUGUGGGUGGAGUCCGCAGGAGAGGAAUUUUUGGUGCACAAUUUUAGACCACACUCUUUUAUGGGGGUCUUGUGACACUAAGGGCAGUAGACCGGGUGGAUUUAGAUUUAGACAGAGCCAAUAAUUAAGAGUUCUUUGCCAGGACCAAGCUUCUACAGAGGGAAGACUUGCCUCUAGUCGUAAUGCUGCAGUUGGGACACAAGGUGGUACAGAAAAAAUCUGCCUUAAAAUUUGGAUUGGACAGUUUCAAGAAUGCUACAAUGCCCCAUUUGUGGAUUGCCCCCCCCCCCCCAGCACUUCAUUACAGUAUAUAUAUUUAAGGCACCAGGUGAAAAUGUUCCCCUUUAACCAGGUCCUUGACUCAUUCAUAUUCUACAGCCUUUUAAAUGGGUUUACUAUUUUGUUGCUUCUGUUUUGAGUAUUUGUUUGUGUUUUAUCUUGUGUUUUUAUCUUAUGAACAACCCUGAGAUCUUUUGAUGAAGGGCAGUAUAUAAAUUUUAUAGACAGAUAGAUAGAUGGUACGUGUUGAUCUGAUGGGGGACAUUGAGAAGCUGUAUCAGGAUUCCCUUGAAUACAGCAGGUGUGGUGGGUUCCAGGGACCAGCUCCUUUUUUGUUUGAGUUGAGGGCCUUCUUGUAGUGGCGCCUGCCCUGUGGAAUGCUUUCGCAUCAGAUGUCAAGGAAAUAAACAACUAUCUGACUUUUAGAAGACAUCUGAAGGCAGCCCUGUUUAGGGAAGUUUUUAAUGUUUGAACUUUUAUUCUGUUUUUAAUGUUCUGUUGAAAGCCACCCAAACCGAGCCAGAUGGGUGGGGGAGAAACAAUAAAUUUCUAUUAUUAUUAUUAUUAUUUAUUACUAUUGUAACAAGACUCCCACCCUGGGCCUCAGAUAAUCUCUGCCCAUGCCUGCUUCCAAGUCCAACCUUCCAACAUUUCUUCAAUAAAAAUAGGGACAUCCAAAAUAAAAUAAAAUAGGGACAUCCCUACCAUACCUUCCAACAUUUCUCUGAUGAAAAUAGGGAUGUCCUAAGGAAAAGUGGGACAUUCCGCAAUCAAAUAAGGAAUUGGGAUGGCUUUUGUAAAACUGGGACUGCCCCUGGAAAAUAGGGUCUGCAGUUCAUGUGUUUAGUAUAAGCCUAAACAGAUCUGGUCAGUCAAAGCCCUGUGUUGCUCUUUUAUUCUGUGCUGCAUGUAAAUGCAGAGGCAGCUUCCUCUUUAAAGCAGCAGCACACUCUCUGCCCAGCCUACAGCCAGAGGUAGAAAUGCUGAACCACUUUCCAGUCAGUUGCUCUCAGAGCAAAAGAGUGAAACAAACAUGACACUUUGGCUUCAAUUUGUUUUUGUUUCAGCAGUUUUGGGAGGUAAUUUUAUUCCUUCUUUGAACAAAGAUGACUAGUAUAAUUCAGGGCUUCAUAUGUAGCAGAUCCUUUAAAUAUGGCUUUCCUCCUUUUCUAGGUGUCCAAUCAGCAAUCCAGCUGGUAGAAUCUGGAGGGGAUGUCAAAAGGCCUGGAGAGUCCCUCCGCCUCUCCUGUCAAGCUUCUGGAUUCACCUUCAGCAGCUAUGACAUGAACUGGGUGCGACAGGCUCCUGGAAAGGGACUGGAAUGGAUUGCAGUAAUCUGGUCUGAUGGUAGCCAACAAUAUUAUGCAGACUCAGUGAAAGGGCGCUUCACCAUCUCCAGAGACAACCCUUCAAACAUGCUGUAUCUACAAAUGAACAGCUUGAAAUCAGAGGACACUGCUGUUUAUUACUGUGCAAGAGGCAC
rnacentral:lncRNA from 1 species